UAGUGGUUGUGCUGUGGCUCCAAAAUCUUCAACAGCUGAUACUCUGAAGGAAGAUUGUUACCCAAAGUUUAAGAAUUCCUGGUUUUGUCAUGACAACAUAGUAACCUGCUCUCGCGAUGGUAGUGCAAUUAUAUGGACUCCAAGAUCACGUAAAUUCCAUGGGAAAUCUGGACGCUGGAUGAAAGGAUAUCAUCUGAAGGUGCCACCUCCUCCACUUCCUCCACAACCUCCUC